AACGAACGCUGGCGGCAUGCCUAACACAUGCAAGUCGAACGAGACCUUCGGGUCUAGUGGCGCACGGGUGCGUAACGCGUGGGAACCUGCCCUUAGGUUCGGAAUAACUCCCCGAAAGGGGUGCUAAUACCGGAUAAUGUCUUCGGACCAAAGAUUUAUCGCCUUUGGAUGGGCCCGCGUUGGAUUAGCUAGUUGGUAGGGUAAAAGCCUACCAAGGCGACGAUCCAUAGCUGGUCUGAGAGGAUGAUCAGCCACACUGGGACUGAGACACGGCCCAGACUCUUCGGGGAGGCGGCAGGGGGUAAUAUUGAAAAAGGGCGGAAGGCCUGACCCAGCAAUGCCGGGUGAGUAAUGAGGGCCUUAGGGUUGAAAAGCCCUUUUACCCGGGAUGAUAAUGACGGUACCGGAAGAAGAAGCCCCGGCUAACCCCGUG
rnacentral:rRNA from 1 species